rnacentral:rRNA from 1 species
AUAUCAGUCAUGCAUAGCAUAUCAAUAAGCGGAGGAAAAGGAACUAACAAGGAUUCCCCUAGUAACGGCGAGUGAAGCGGGAAGAGCUCAAAUUUGAAAUCUUAAAGGGUUUCCCUUUACGAAUUGUAGUUUAAAGAAGUGUUUUCUGUUGGAGUUUCGGUAAAAGUUCUUUGGAAUAGGACAUCAUAGAGGGUGAGAAUCCCGUAUUUGACCGUUACUUUCCAGCUGUGUGAUACACUUUCAAAGAGUCGGAUUGUUUGGGAAUGCAGUCCAAAAUGGGUGGUAAAUUUCAUCUAAAGCUAAAUAUUGGCGAGAGACCGAUAGCGAACAAGUACCGUGAGGGAAAGAUGAAAAGAACUUUGAAAAGAGAGUUAAACAGUACGUGAAAUUGUCAAAAGGGAAGCGUUUGACACCAGUGUUGUUUUUCCGAAAAUCAAUUACGAAUGUUUUCAUUUUUGAGGAGUUAUGACUUCAUCGGCUUGCUCCUUUCUUUAUGAAACUUUCUUAAUGCACUUUUCGGUUAACAAGUCAACAUCAAUUUCUUUUGUUGUAAAAGGGUAUGAGGAAGGUGGCUUUCUUUUCGGAGAAAGUGUUUAUAGCCUUGUGCCUCUGCAAUCGGAGAGAUUGAGGUCUGCAGCGUAGAUCCUUCGGGGUUAGAUACAUUUGUGCUAAGUUAUAGCUUUUCAUAGACAACUUGUUGACUAUGUUUAGUCUUGUAAUCUUACUCGCUAGACUGCUAUUUUACCUACGCUUAGGAUGUUGAUCUCUCACAGUCGAGC